rnacentral:rRNA from 3 species
CCAAGGAGUCUAACAUGUGCGCGAGUCACUCGGUCUUGAUUAGGCCAGAGAGGCGCAAUGAAAGUAAAGCUUGUUAAGUUACGAUCUCCAUGCCAGUUAUCCUUMAAUGGGUAACGGUGGAGCGCAGUAACAGCCCGCUAAUUCCGCUUAUUGACGGUCUAGCGGAGUUAUAGCGUACACGUUGGUACCCGAAAGAUGGUGAACUAUGCCUGGGCAAGACGAAGCCAGAGGAAACUCUGGUGGAGGUCUGUAGCGAUUCUGACGUGCAAAUCGAUCGUCAGACCUGGGUAUAGGGGCGAAAGACUAAUCGAACCAUC